rnacentral:rRNA from 1 species
UACAGAGGUCCCAAGCGUUGUUCGGAUUCAUUGGGCGUAAAGGGUGCGUAGGUGGCCUGGUAAGUCGGGUGUGAAAUCCCGGGGCUCAACCCCGGAACUGCACUCGAUACUGCCGUGCUCGAGUACUGGAGAGGAGACUGGAAUUUACGGUGUAGCAGUGAAAUGCGUAGAUAUCGUAAGGAAGACCGGUGGCGAAGGCUAGUCUCUGGACAGUUACUGACACUGAGGCACGAAGGCCAGGGGAGCAAACGGG